rnacentral:rRNA from 1 species
CCUACGGGCGGCAGCAGUGGGGAAUAUUGGGCAAUGGGCGCAAGCCUGACCCAGCAACGCCGCGUGAAGGAAGAAGGCUUUCGGGUUGUAAACUUCUUUUAAGGGGGAAGAGCAGAAGACGGUACCCCUUGAAUAAGCCACGGCUAACUACGUGCCAGCAGCCGCGGUAAUACGUAGGUGGCAAGCGUUGUCCGGAUUUACUGGGUGUAAAGGGCGUGCAGCCGGGACUGCAAGUCAGAUGUGAAAUCCGCGGGCUUAACCCGCGAACUGCAUUUGAAACUGCGGAUCUUGAGUACCGGAGAGGUUAUCGGAAUUCCUUGUGUAGCGGUGAAAUGCGUAGAUAUAAGGAAGAACACCAGUGGCGAAGGCGGAUAACUGGACGGCAACUGACGGUGAGGCGCGAAAGCGUGGGGAGCAAACAGGAUUAGAUACCCGAGUAGUCAUA